GCCAACAAUAACACUUUGAUUUGAGGACCUUGGUGAAAACACUGGUGACCUGCUGCUGCAUCAAACAUUAAUGGGAACAACUUAACAACAGGGCCCUUUCAACAUGGAAAGGAUCCAGCGGGAGAGACAAGACUCUGGUGGCCAGAUUGAUUUCAAAGAUCAGCAUCUUCCCCCUGAAAACAUCCUUGAGCAUGAGAGACCAGACUGUCCCGUACCCAGCUGUGUGUCCAU